ACAUAAGUUGAUGAAAAAAGAAUUGGUCUCAUAGUUUGUUAAAGUGAGAUAUGGUUUCUACCGUUUGUCUUUUCAAUCGUUUUUGGACCAAACUAUUGUUAAUGGGAGCAACCAAACCGCACAGCAGUUGGUUUCGGUUUAGAUUAUGCAGUUCAGUUUUGAAAAAAAA
rnacentral:sRNA from 1 species